AUAGAAGUACUCUUGAUGAAAGACCAUGCAACCAACAAAUCAAGAGGAUUUGCUUUUGUCAUCUUUGAAUGCCCAGCAGACGCUAAGAAUGCAGCCAGAGACACGAAUGGAAAGUCAUUAGAUGGAAAAGCCAUCAAGGUGGAACAAGCCACCAAAUCAUCAUUUGAAAGUGGUAGACGUGGGCCACCUCCACCUCCAAGAAGUAGAGGCCCUCCAAGAGGUCUUAGAGGUGGAAGAGGAGGAAGUGGAAGAACCAGGGGACCUCCCUCACAGAGAGGACACAUGGAUGACGGUGGAUAUUACAUGAAUUUUAACAUGAGUUCUUCCAGGGGACCACUCCCAGGAAAAAAAGGACCACCAGGAAGUGGGGGUCCUCUUCCUAAGAGAUCUGCACCUUCAGAACCAGUUGGCAGCAGCAGUGGAAUGGGAGGAAGAGCUCCUGUAUCACGUAGAAGAGAUAGUUACGGAGGUCCACCUCGAAGAGAACCGCUGCCUUCUCGUAGAGAUGUUUAUUUGCCCCCAAGAGAUGAUGGGUAUUCUACUAAAGACAGCUAUUCCAGCAGAGAUUACCCAAGUUCUGGUGAUACAAGAGAUUAUGCACCACCACCAUGAGAUUAUACUUACCAUGAUUAUGGUCAUUCCAAUUCACGUGAUGACUAUCCAUCAAGAGGCUAUAGCGGUAGAGAGGGAGACGCCGUGACUAUUCAGAUCAUCCAAGUGGAGGUUCCUACAGAGAUUCAUAUGAGAGUUAUGGUAACUCACGUAGUGCUCCACCUCUACGAGGAUCCCCGCCAUCUUACGGAGGAAGCAGUCGCUAUGCUGAUGACGGCAGCUCACGUGACAGAUAUGGUGGAAGUCGAGACAGUUACUCAAGCAGCCGAAGUGAUCUCUACUCAAGUGGUUGUGAUCAGGUUGACAGACAAGAAAGAGGGCUUACCCCUUCUGUGGAAAGGGGGUACCCUGCUCCACAUGAUUCCUACAGCAGUUCAAGCCGCGGAGCACCGAGAGGUGGCGGCCGUGAACGAAGCUGAUCUGAUAGAGGGGGAGGCAGAAGCAGAUACUAGAAAAAAACAAAACUUUGGACCAAAAUCCCAGUUCAAAGAAACAAAAAGUGGAAACUAUUCUGUCGUAACUACCCAAGGACUACUAAAAAGAAAAAUUGUGUUAUCUUUUUAAAAUUCCCUGUUAAGUUCCCCUCCAUAGUUUUUAUAUUCUUCUGAGAAAAAAAGUAAAACAUGUUUAAUUUUAUUUGACUUUAUGACAUUGCUUUUCAACAAGCAAAUGUUAAAUGUGUUAAGACUUGUACUAGUGUUGUAACCUUCCAAGUAAAAGUGUCCCUAAAGGCCACUUCCUAUGUGAUUUUUCCCAGUAAGUGAGGCAAGCAAUUCUAAGCUCUUUCACAAAACAUCUAGUCAUCUAAAAUGGAGAGAUGAAUCAUUCUGCCUAUAGAAACAAGCUAGCUGUUAGAGGGUGGUCUAACAACUAAAACCUCCAUGAUCUCAGUAUGAAAAACCUGAAAUCAGAUGCCUAUGUAAGGAAAUAUUCACCCAGUAAACCCAACAAAGCAAAUGGAUAAUGCUGGCCACUUUGCCUUUCUGACAUUUCCUCGGGAAUCUGCAAGAACCUCCCUUUUCCCCUCCCCCAGUAACACCAUUUAAGUGUGUGUUAAACAACUACAGAUUACUAAAUAAAAAGUUUAGCCAAAACAAAACAAAAAAAAAGUUUUCCUCUUGUUCACGCUACAGUCUUAUGUGAACUGUCCUUUAAGCAGCUAAACUGGUAGCUAAACCAUCUAGAAAGUGAGCUAUCCAAGGUCACCAUGGCAGGCGAAGAGAUCUAAAGAACUCAAUUAAAAACCAGGCUGGCUGGGGCACGGUGGCUUAUCCCUGUAAUCCCAGCACUUUGGAAGACUGAGGCGGGCAGAUCACUUGACAUCAGGAGUUCAAGACCAGCCUAGCCAAGGCAGUGAAACCCUGUCUCUACUAAAAAUACAAAAGUUAGCUGGGCAUGGUGGUGUGUGCCUGUAAUCCCAGUUACUCGGGAGGCUGAGGCAGGAGAAUCGCUUGAACCCAGAAGGUGGAGGUUGCAGUGAGCCAAGACUGUACCACUGCCCUCCAGCGUGGAGGAGAAGGCAA